GUCGAGAAGAGGAAGAAAAGAGAGCUUGAGAGCAGUGUGAAUGGGAACAUGGAGGAAACCCUAACUUGCUUUGUUUUCAGUUUUCACCUCUAGUGGGAGGUGAGAAUUUAGUUUGGUGUUUCCCGAUGCCUCCUAUUCCUAUUGUUCUCAAGCACUCCUUCCUUUUCUUUUUGGCU
rfam:Triticum urartu cultivar G1812 contig297508, whole genome shotgun sequence.